UAGGGAAUCUUCGGCAAUGGACGAAAGUCUGACCGAGCAACGCCGCGUGAGUGAAGAAGGUUUUCGGAUCGUAAAACUCUGUUGUUAGAGAAGAACAAGGACGUUAGUAACUGAACGUCCCCUGACGGUAUCUAACCAGAAAGCCACGGCUAACUACGUGCCAGCAGCCGCGGUAAUACGUAGGUGGCAAGCGUUGUCCGGAUUUAUUGGGCGUAAAGCGAGCGCAGGCGGUUUCUUAAGUCUAAUGUGAAAGCCCCCGGCUCAACCGGGGAGGGUCAUUGGAAACUGGGAGACUUGGGUGCAGAAGAGGAGAGUGGAAUUCGAUGUGUAGCGGUAAAAUGCGUAGAUAUAUGGAGGAACACCAGUGGCGAAGGCGGCUCUCUGGUCUGUAACUGACGCUGAGGCUCAAAAGCGUGGGGAGCAAACAGG
rnacentral:rRNA from 1 species